UACGUAGGGUGCAAGCGUUAAUCGGAAUUACUGGGCGUAAAGCGUGCGCAGAUGGUUGCGUAAGUCAGAUGUGAAAGCCCCGGGCUCAACCUGGGAAUUGCAUUUGAGACUGCGUAGCUAGGGUGCGGAAGAGGGAAGCGGAAUUUCCGGUGUAGCAGUGAAAUGCGUAGAUAUCGUGAGGAACACCAGAGGCGAAGGCGGUUUCCUGGACAGUUACUGACGCUCAGGCACGAAAGCAUGGGGAGCAAAAGGG
rnacentral:rRNA from 1 species